UCCCAGACUCCUACGGGAGGCAGCAGUGGGGGAUAUUGCACAAUGGGGGAAACCCUGAUGCAGCGACGCCGCGUGUGGGAAGACGGUCUUCUGGAUUGUAAACCACUGUCCCCAGGGACGAAAAUGACGGUACCUGGGGAGGAAGCUCCGGCUAACUACGUGCCAGCAGCCGCGGUAAUACGUAGGGAGCAAGCGUUGUCCGGAAUUACUGGGUGUAAAGGGAGCGUAGGCGGGGAUGCAAGUUGGGUGUCAAAACUACCGGCUCAACCGAUAGUCGCACUCAAAACUGCAGCUCUUGAGUGAAGUAGGGGCAGGCGGAAUUCCUAGUGUAGCGGUGAAAUGCGUAGAUAUUAGGAGGAACACCAGUGGCGAAGGCGGCUUACUGGACUGUAACUGACGUUGAGGCUCGAAAGCGUGGGGAGCAAACAGGAUUAGAUACCCCGGUAC
rnacentral:rRNA from 1 species